AACUCUCCACAAAAAAGAAGCCUCGUUUACGAAGUGUCAUUGAAUACACCACAGGCAGCAGAGGCGCGACUUCGUAAUACGAACACGAACGGCGGCGGCUGUCAACUGCCGUUUCUAAUGACUGCACACGCUUUCUGAUGGGGCCAAGAUGCAAAACAUUGGAAGGACCCGGGUGAAAAUGUGUCACCUGUUCAUGAGGAUGAGGGACAGCUACGAGGAUAUCAUAUAUUUUAUUUGGAUAAAUACAGCAUUCAGGAAGCCACCACAGCCCUUAGCCGGAAGGGAAAAAGACAGUGAAACGGACAGCGUGCAGUCUCAAGACACGAGCCGUCUGCGUGGCCACGUGGAGUGCUCAUCGUGAGCGGUGGAGGGCAAGCCGGCGUGCUGCCAAGAAUUAAGGAAGCAGCCAUAUGGGCCUCGCAGCAGGCCUGGGAAACCUUCCAUCCGAAACCUCUUCAAGGCAGCGCUUACCUCCGGUAUGCUCGGUGUUGGGGCCAAAACGUUACAAAAGUACCACGGUACAGUUUUAUAUUAAGUUCCGGCCAUAACGGAGUACGUCAUAUAACGAGUUACUCAUUAUGAUUUUGGAAUAUUAUUAGGUUGACAUUAUGUAGGUUAACUUGCAGUUUGGUUCCUUGGAAACUCGCAUCGCAUUCAUUACUUUCACACCAAAGUCAACACAUAACAUGGCUGGGAAGUGAUUGUUUUUCAGACCAUCUGCAGGCAUCGUGGCAGGAAAUGAAAACACAUUCAAAAUACAAAUGGGGAAUAAAUCAGCCAAGUGCAAAGUAUGAAGCAGCAUUUAGAAAUUUGAAGAAUUAAGAGUCACUGUGCUUUUUAGAUAUGAUCUAUCUACCUGUCAAGUCUCUUUUGUCGGACGAUUUAUCAAUUAUAUUUAGCUACAUAAAAAAAAAAAAAAACACGCAUUGUCAAUAAAUACUUACUUUUCCCAUCUGCAUCAUAUAUUUGGAGCCCGUUGACAAUAUUUAUGGUAUACAGACUGAGAUUUUUCAUUGGACCAACAUCAGUCCCAAUAUUUAUGUUGGAACAAUCUAUCUUGUUAUUGAUACAAAUAUUAAUCAAAGGGAGUCGAAACAUUGAACAU